UCUAAAGUAAAAGCAAAUUUACUGUAAAUAAGCUUAUUCAGUACGGGUUUUGAUAGCACCGGAUUGUAUCCCCUUGAUUAUCAAGCGUCGUUUGUUUGACUUUGUUAUUGUGAGAAAUGCAGAAAUGAAAACGUUUAUUUUCAACGGAUUCCUUGGGCGUUUCAAGAAAAAUAAAAGAAACAUGGUCAAAAUGUUGGUGGUAACUAAGAUGAACAAUUGAAAAACAUUAGUGGCUGGAAAAAAAUCAAGUCAUGUGCAGUGACUAGAAUGAAUACAACACAAAUUAUCAGAUUGGAAUCUUAUGUAGUAUUGAGAGUGGAUUUUUUUACAAUGGACCAGACCUCAUGACAAAUGUACAGCUGAUGGUAAUAACAAAUGUUCUCUUUGUGCUGCUAUUUUAUCCAACAGUAUUUGACUGUUAUGAUAAGUUUUGAAUUUUUUUCACCAUACUUGAAUUACAUCAUCCAAUUUGACACACACCUGUAGAUUGUUCUUGCUUCUUUCACAUUAUUUGACAAAGUAAACAAAAACAGGAAAUUGACUGUAAAAUAUUCAUUUUUAUCAAUUUGGAGAACUUUUCUAUGUUUUUCACCAUGUAUCAAUAUUAAUCUAAGCUGAAUUGUUGUUCAAAUGAAGAUCUAUAAGCCUAUUAUUGACAAAUAGGUGAACAAAAUCUUUCUAUGACAUUGAAUACUGUAUAUUGAAAAUAUAUUUAUCAUUGUUAUCAUUGUUAGACAUUUAUUUCAUUCAUUCAACCAGUCAGAUAGUGUCAAACUGAAAUUUAUGUGCUUGUUUUGUACAAUAAACUGGAUGUAAAUCAAUGAAAUCACUGAAUGGUAAAAAAAAAUGUGUUCCCUGAGUGACAAAUAAUCUGGCCUGUGUAAGAAAAGUCAUUUUCAGGAGCAAAUAUUGUAAAACAAGCUAUUCCGCAAUCUUAUUUUGUCUUUUUUUAUUUGCUGAAGAACAUAUAUUUUGUAAAAUCAAAUAAAAAUGCAUAUCGUAUUUUACUACUAGUUCAUUUCUAUACUGUUUCAUGAGUUUUGAAGCAAAUAUCCAUGUCCAUUGAGACAAAAAAUCUGAAGUACUGCUGUUUUUCUUCAAAAUCUUUGACAGAAUCU